rnacentral:lncRNA from 1 species
UCCUUAGUAAUAGGCUCCAUUAGAAAUAAAUAAUCCUCCAUAGUAAUACAAGGCUGAAUAAUAUUAAGCAUCGGUGUGUGAUUACAAAUAUUAGGAGCAAACAUAACAUCAGAAUAAUCCUUGGCAACUUUGCAAAGCUCCUUCUGGCUAGUAACAACCGUGCCCUACUUGUUAUGAAGCUUUAUCACCUUCUUAGUCUUUUUUCUUACGGUUGCCGACAUAUGAAAGAACUUAGUGUUCAUAUCCCCAUCUUUCAUCCAAUGCAUUUUAAGUCUUUGCUUCCAAAAAACUUCCUCCUCCUGUACAAGCAGUCGGGCAUGGCGCUCAAUCUCCUUUCGAAACUGAACUGAAUUCACACCGUUAGGUGAGCUCCUAAUUGAUUCAAGAAGGCGAGUGCACUGUUGGAUCUCCUCUUGAAAGUGAAUUUUUUUC